AUCUAAGCAAUCACAAUCUUGUAUUGCCACAGUUAAGCCAAGAUUUCCAACUAAGUUUUCUUUGUUAAAAUCCAGAUAAAGGUAUAUGAAACAAAAUGCAUCAUUCACUUGCUUCAAAGAAUCAUAGAAUGGCUUGGGUUGGAGUAUCUUUGGGUUACAAUAUCUUUCUGCUAAAUCCAUGAAGCAGCAGCGGAGAAAGUGAAGAAUCCAUGGUUCUCUACAACAGCAAAGACGCAUCACCAUACCUUGGAUAUCUAUAGCUUUGAUAACUAGUCCAAACUGGACAUCUCUGUAUAAUCGAUACAGACACGUAUACACAGAAGCAGCCCCAGAAGGUGUCUUGGAAAAACAUCGAGAAACCAUAACACUAACCAAAAAUAACAGGAAAAAAGAAUAAAUAAUCCCUAAAAAAGGAAGAUGUAUGAUAUCUUAUUUCUACUCUUCAGCUUCUCUCCUCAUGGCUACCUCAAGAACAGCCCAAGCUUUGACCUCAAGGUGGUGGUGGUAUAAAGGAGAGCAAAAAUGAAGGCAACCAUUUAAUGUGAUGGAACAGGUAGCACAGAUAAUA